rnacentral:rRNA from 1 species
CCUACGGGUGGCUGCAGUGAGGAAUAUUGGUCAAUGGACGCAAGUCUGAACCAGCCAUGCCGCGUGCAGGAAGACGGCUCUAUGAGUUGUAAACUGCUUUUGUACGAGGGUAAACGCAGAUACGCGUAUCUGUCUGAAAGUAUCGUACGAAUAAGGAUCGGCUAACUCCGUGCCAGCAGCCGCGGUAAUACGGAGGAUUCAAGCGUUAUCCGGAUUUAUUGGGUUUAAAGGGUGCGUAGGCGGUCGGAUAAGUUAGAGGUGAAAUCCCGAGGCUCAACUUCGGAAUUGCCUCUGAUACUGUGCGGCUAGAGAGUAGUUGCGGUAGGCGGAAUGUAUGGUGUAGCGGUGAAAUGCUUAGAGAUCAUACAGAACACCGAUUGCGAAGGCAGCUUACCAAGCUACUUCUGACGUUGAGGCACGAAAGCGUGGGGAGCGAACAGGAUUAGAUACCCCAGUAGUC